rnacentral:piRNA from 1 species
UCUCUGCCAAUCUGUCCUGCAAGACCAGGCA